UACGUAGGGGGCGAGCGUUGUCCGGAUUUAUUGGGCGUAAAGAGCUCGUAGGCGGUUUGGUAAGUUGGAUGUGAAAUCUCCAGGCUCAACUUGGAGGGGUCAUUCGAUACUGCCAUGACUAGAGUUCGGUAGGGGAGUGUGGAAUUCCUGGUGGAGCGGUGAAAUGCGCAGAUAUCAGGAGGAACACCUGUAGCGAAGGCGGCACUCUGGGCCGGAACUGACGCUGAGGAGCGAAAGCGUGGGGAGCGAACAGG
rnacentral:rRNA from 1 species